rnacentral:rRNA from 1 species
CCUGGCUCAGGACGAACGCUGGCGGCGUGCUUAACACAUGCAAGUCGAACGGGGUUUGGCGAGAAGUUUACUUUUUGCCAAACCUAGUGGCGGACGGGUGAGUAACGCGUGGAUAACCUGCCCAUUAGCCUGGGAUAACGCCGGGAAACCGGUGCUAAUACCGGAUACGUUCAUAUGAUCGCAUGNUCAUAUGAAGAAAGGAGCAAUCCGCUAAUGGAUGGGUCCGCGUCCCAUUAGCUGGUUGGUGGGGUAACGGCCCACCAAGGCAACGAUGGGUAGCCGGCCUGAGAGGGCGACCGGCCACACUGGAACUGAGACACGGUCCAGACUCCUACGGGAGGCAGCAGUGGGGAAUCUUCCGCAAUGGGCGCAAGCCUGACGGAGCAACGCCGCGUGAGCGAAGAAGGCCUUCGGGUUGUAAAGCUCUGUCCAGCGGGAAGAAGACAUGACGGUACCGCUGGAGGAAGCCCCGGCUAACUACGUGCCAGCAGCCGCGGUAAAACGUAGGGGGCGAGCGUUGUCCGGAAUUACUGGGCGUAAAGGGCGUGUAGGCGGCCUGUCAAGUCAGGAGUGAAACCCAGCGGCUCAACCGCUGGCUGGCUUUNUGAAACUGACAGGCUAAGAGUGCAGUAGAGGGGAGUGGAAUUCCCAGUGUAGCGGUGAAAUGCGUAGAUAUUGGGAGGAACACCAGUGGCGAAAGCGGCUCCCUGGCCUGUAACUGACGCUGAGGCGCGAAAGCGUGGGUAGCAAACAGGAUUAGAUACCCUGGUAGUCCACGCCGUAAACGAUGGGUGCUAGGUGUUGCGGGUAUCGACCCCCGCAGUGCCGCAGUUAACGCAAUAAGCACCCCGCCUGGGGAGUACGGCCGCAAGGCUGAAACUCAAAGGAAUUGACGGGGGCCCGCACAAGCGGUGGAGCAUGUGGUUUAAUUCGACGCAACGCGAAGAACCUUACCAGGUCUUGACAUCGCCCGCCCGCCAUGGAAACAUGGCCUUUCCCUUAGUGGAACGGGUAGACAGGUGGUGCAUGGUUGUCGUCAGCUCGUGUCGUGAGAUGUUGGGUUAAGUCCCGCAACGAGCGCAACCCUACCUUUA